rnacentral:rRNA from 1 species
GAUGAACGCUGGCGGCGUGCCUAAUACAUGCAAGUCGAGCGAACGGACGAGAAGCUUGCUUCUCUGAUGUUAGCGGCGGACAGGUGAGUAACACGUGGAUAACCUACCUAUAAGACUGGGAUAACUUCGGGAAACCGGAGCUAAUACCGGAUAAUAUUUUGAACCGCAUGGCUCAAAAGUGAAAGACGGUCUUGCUGUCACUUAUAGAUGGAUCCGCGCUGCAUUAGCUAGUUGGUAAGGUAACGGCUUACCAAGGCAACGAUGCAUAGCCGACCUGAGAGGGUGAUCGGCCACACUGGAACUGAGACACGGUCCAGACUCCUACGGGAGGCAGCAGUAGGGAAUCUUCUGCAAUGGGCGAAAGCCUGACGGAGCAACGCCGCGUGAGUGAUGAAGGUCUUCGGAUCGUAAAACUCUGUUAUUAGGGAAGAACAUAUGUGUAAGUAACUGUGCACAUCUUGACGGUACCUAAUCAGAAAGCCACGGCUAACUACGUG